GCCGACGUAGCUCAAUUGGCAGAGCAAUGCUCUUGUAAAGCAUAGGUUAUGGGUUCAAGUCCCAUCGUCGGCUCAA
rnacentral:tRNA from 1 species